CAGCAACAAGAACAAAGGAAGAACAAAGGGAAAAACAAGAAAAUCUAGGUGGAAAUUCAAAGAAAAAGUGAAGAAAUCAAGGAAACAAGCUAGGUAAGUUAGAAUUUCUUCAAUUCUCCUUGAUACCUAGCUUACCCAUGCUUUUGUUCUUGAUUUGCAUGGUUGAGUAUUGAGUUAUCAUGAUGAAUUCAAUUCUGAAAAAUGGGUAUGGAAGAGGAAUUGUUGUUGGAAUAAUUUGAUUUUAGACUAUGUUAGUGUUUAGGGAUAGUUAAGCAUGGUUGAACAAAAACACAAAAGAAAUAUUCAAUUUCUCUAGGGUUCCUUGUUGGUCGAACCAUGGGGGCUGAAUAUCAAUGGGGGAUUGUUUUUAUUUCAAGGAAAAUGGCUUGGAAAAUGAUGAAUUAAGGUGAAACGGUUAUGUAGAAAAAAAAUUCGGUGCUAGUGCACCAAAUGACCGAAUUUUUCUAUAAGGAACUGUGGGGGUUCUAAUGCUGAAUUUGGCUUUAUUUAAAUGGUAUGUGGUAAAUUAAGGUAUUAGAGGAGAAAUGGAUUAAUUUGGAGGUGAUUUGGACACAAUCACCAAUUAAUCGGGUGAUCGAUCGAAUUUAAUCGAUACCGCGAUUAAGCGGUUAUCGGACGUAUUUUUGCAUUUACAUAUCAAGCAUUAGUAAUUUAAAUUAGUUUAUAUCAAUUUAGGGACAAUAUAGUAAAUUCCUCGACUUUGUUAUUUGUCAAGGUAGUGAGUCGUCCGAAAAAGGCAAAGGAAUUACGCCUGAGGACUAUUAGUCCGAGUGCACCCGAAAUCCCGAUUUUCGACACCUGUGAGUGGACUGCCUUCAAAACUUGUUUUGGGAAAUAUAAUGUAAUUGCCACCCAUUUGAAUGAAUUAUCAAGUUUUUCAUGAAAACAAGUGCCUUGGGAACAAGCUUUUGAAAAAUGGUUUUAUGUUGUAAUAUGUGAUUGCUAUGGAUUCAUGCACUAUUGUAUUAUGAUGAUAUAUAUAUAUGUGUGUUGUGCAUGAUGAAUGAUAUUGUAUAUAAUGACUGUAACCGCGUGUGUGCACGAGGUGGAGAAUGCACAUGUCGGUGAUGGUGGUGGUGUGAGAGAUAGAUGAUAAUAGUGCUCGUGUGCACGAUGUGGGGGGAAUUACAUGAUAGCACUGAUUGUGCCAGCUAUGUGCACGAUGUGGCGGGAUGUACAUGAGCCGGGAGUGAUUAUGAUGAUAUUGAUGUUUGUCUUUGUAAUUAUGCAUAUCUAGAUUUAUGAAAUGAAAGUUCAUGAAUGUGAUAUAUGGUUGACAUAUAUGUGAAAUUUGACACAUUGUACUUUGAGAAUUUUCAUAAGUUUUAUGUUGAUUUUGUUAGUUUAGCAGGAUGGCUUUUUGUUGAGUGAGGGAAAAUGUUUCUCUUGUUGCUCUGUUUUCGCUGCAGCAAGAAACUCUCAGGUUUGAGGACCUUUCGCCAGAACUGGUUCUCGUUGCAGCGAAAAACUUUCUGUUUCUGGGUAACAAUUUCGCUGUAGCGAAAAACUUUUUGUUUUGUCUCCUAUCUUGUCCAAUUGCUGCCCUAUUUUUCACUUCUUUUCGACCAUAUCUGAGCAUGGACUUCCAACAUUUAGGACAAAAUGAGUUAAGUUUAAAAUGAGGGGUUUUUAAUAUGAAUGGAACUAAAUUGCAUUGUUUUGAAACAAGUGCAUCAUGAUUUUAAAUUCUCCCUUGUUGUUGUUGCUUGUUCCCUUCCUUGUUCACUCACUGGGUUUAUACUCACCAUUUUCAAAUUCAUGUUUUCAGAUCACGAGGCAGCCGAUAACUAGGACGAGGUGUCCUUGUAGACUUGUGUCCAUCUUUUGGUAGAUGUCUCAGCAUUCGGUAGUUGUGUAUUCAUCCGAGUCACUCCGCUGGAAGUCGAGUGUUAUUUUGUUUUGUAUAGACGAACUUAAUGUAAAUUAUUAGAAUACAUGUUGUAGACAUUGUAUGUAAAUUUUUAA
rnacentral:lncRNA from 1 species